AGGAGAAUUUUGUUACCAUCUUUAUUCUUUACGGAUAAAUACAAAAUAAGCUUAUUUGUUAUUCAUAAUGAUUUACAAAAGUCAAAGAAAAAACAAGCCUGGAACAAUUGUAAACCACACCGAUAUAAAAGCAAUAAUCAGAAUAGCUCCAUGUCAAGGCUGUUUAUAGACUUGGGCUUGCUCUUUUUCUUCACUAGCAUAUAAUGGGCUUCGUUUUCAGGCCUUCAAAGCUUUUCUUGCUUUGCGAGCACCGACAAAACGGCUCCCUGUUUCAGAGCUCGUGUCAAUCAAAUUAUGUCUCGUACUUCCUUCACCAUAAUUUAAUGCAUAAAACACAGGACGAAGCAAAGGCAGAAUAUUUCCUUCUUGCGCCGGACAACCCCAUAUGGAACACAAUGUUCUUUCUCCAAUCUAUUGGGGCCACCAUCCAAUAAUUUUACUCCCUUUGAACCUGAUUGCUUCCUUGCCUUCAUCUUUUUUACUCUGCCUUUUGGACUCGAUAACAUGUUUGAAUACUCCUUUUCCGAUAGUUCAAAUAUAGCUCUAAAAAGUAGCCUAAAGCUCCUUUCUUGUGUAAUAAUAACCCAAUACUCCAUGACAAGGUCCCAAUGGUACGCCCUUCAGGAGCAGAGGCUGUGAUGAGGUGAUUAUCACCUCCCAUUUGAAACACAAGCAUGUUGUUGGCCAAACUUGAAAAUCAAAUGCCACAAAUAUAGAAAAGGAGAAAGAGGAACCAAGAGAUCCAAGACAAGGGAAUUGGGGUAGGCAAACCAUUUGCUUUUAGGAAAGUCGGUGCCUUGAUCAUGCUCUCAUCUAAUGGAAGUCCAUAAGGAUUAUAUAUAUGCUUAUGUUGCACUGAGUAGGCUUCUCUUUGUCACGUUGUUCCAUAAUACCUCUCAUCGAACUCUUAUGACAUCACAGGCCACGU
rnacentral:lncRNA from 1 species